CUGCUUAACUAUAUAAAAAUAUGUAAGGUUAGUUUACCCCCUUAAAAAGGAUAUUACCUGCUGAAAUCUUCGUGGUAGUUGAAAAGGGUUCUCCACAAGUCCAGAUGAUGCCAGGCUAGAGAGUUCAAUUUGAUCUUCUUUCACCAAUUCAUUUCAGAACCUGCAAAUCCAUGCGAGUCCUCUAAACAUCAGCCCAUCUUCAAGCCAAGGAAUCUUUUACAAUCAGUAAACAGACAUAAUGUACAUGUUAUCGACAAUAUACGCAAAAAACUGGAUUGCAUCCUGAAGCUCUGAUGCUGCAGUGCGG
rnacentral:misc_RNA from 1 species